GCCUCUGUAGCUAAAACUUUAAAGCAUUG
rnacentral:tRNA from 1 species